rnacentral:rRNA from 1 species
CCCUUAGAUGUUCUGGGCCGCACGCGCGCUACACUGUUCGACGCAGCGAGUCUUAACCUUGACCGAAAGGUUUGGGUAAUCUUCAGCAAAGUCGAACGUGAUGGGGAUCGAUCAUUGCAAUUAUUGAUCGUGAACGAGGAAUUCCUAGUAAGUGCAAGUCAUCAGCAUGCGCUGAUUACGUCCCUGCCCUUUGUACACACCGCCCGUCGCUACUACCGAUUGAAUGGUUUAGUGAGAUCUCUGGAUUGACGCUGGCUAGGGGGCGACCCUUGGCCAGACUGUUGAGAAACUGCUCAAACUUGAUCAUUUAGAGGAAGUAAAAGUCGUAACA